CAUACUUAGUGGCAGACGGGUGAGUAACAUGUAGGUAUCUGCCCUUUGGCCUGGAAUAACACGAGGAAACUUGUGCUAAUACCGGAUAAGUCUUUACGGAGAAAGCUUUAUGCACCAUUGGAUGAGCCUGCACUUGAUUAGUUUGUUGGUAGGGUAAUGGCCUACCAAGACUGUGAUCAAUAGCUGAUUUGAGAGGAUGAUCAGCCACAUUGGGACUGAGACACGGCCCAAACUCCUACGGGAGGCAGCAGUGGGGAAUCUUGCACAAUGGAGGAAACUCUGAUGCAGCGAUGCCGCGUGAGUGAAGAAGGCCUUUGGGUUGUAAAGCUCUUUCGUCGGGGAAGAAAAUGACUGUACCCGAAUAAGAAGGUCCGGCUAACUUCGUGCCAGCAGCCGCGGUAAUACGAAGGGACCUAGCGUAGUUCGGAAUUACUGGGCUUAAAGAGUUCGUAGGUGGUUGAAAAAGUUGGUGGUGAAAUCCCAGAGCUUAACUCUGGAACUGCCAUCAAAACUUUUCAGCUAGAGUAUGAUAGAGGAAAGCAGAAUUUCUAGUGUAGAGGUGAAAUUCGUAGAUAUUAGAAAGAAUACCAAUUGCGAAGGCAGCUUUCUGGAUCAUUACUGACACUGAGGAACGAAAGCAUGGGUAGCGAAGAGGAUUAGAUACCCUCGUAGUCCAUGCCGUAAACGAUGUGUGUUAGACGUUGGAAAUUUAUUUUCAGUGUCGCAGCGAAAGCGAUAAACACACCGCCUGGGGAGUACGACCGCAAGGUUAAAACUCAAAUGAAUUGACGGGGACCCGCACAAGUAGUGGAGCAUGUGGUUUAAUUCGAAGAUACGCGCAGAACCUUACCAACACUUGACAUGUUCGUCGCGACUUUAAGAGAUUAAAGUUUUCGGUUCGGCCGGACGAAACACAGGUGCUGCAUGGCUGUCGUCAGCUCGUGUCGUGAGAUGUUGGGUUAAGUCCCGCAACGAGCGC
rnacentral:rRNA from 1 species